AAUGAACGCUGGCGGCAGGCCUAACACAUGCAAGUCGAACGGAUCAUUCGGGAUUAGUGGCGGACGGGUGAGUAACGCGUGGGAACAUACCCUUUGGUACGGAAUAGCCUCGGGAAACUGGGAGUAAUACCGUAUGUGGUCGAGAGACGAAAGAUUUAUCGCCAAAGGAUUGGCCCGUGUUGGAUUAGGUAGUUGGUGGGGUAAUGGCCUACCAAGCCGACGAUCCAUGGCUGGUUUGAGAGGAUGAUCAGCCACACUGGGACUGAGACACGGCCCAGACUCCUACGGGAGGCAGCAGUGGGGAAUCUUAGACAAUGGGGGAAACCCUGAUCUAGCCAUGCCGCGUGAUCGAUGAAGGCCUUAGGGUUGUAAAGAUCUUUCAGGUGGGAAGAUAAUGACUGUACCACCAGAAGAAGCCCGGCUAACUCCGUGCCAGCAGCCGCAGUAAAAC
rnacentral:rRNA from 1 species